UCCCCGUUCUCCUGUGCACGAGCCCCGAAGGGCUGCCGUGUUUCCACGACAUUCCCGUGCAUGUCAAGCCUUGGUAAGGUUCUUCGCGUCGCGUCGAAUUAAACAACAUGCUCCGCUGCUUGUGCGGGCCCCCGUCAAUUCCUUUGAGUUUUAGCCUUGCGGCCGUACUCCCCAGGCGGGGUGCUUAAUGCGUUAGCUUCGGCACGGAGGGAGUUGACACCCCCCACACCUAGCACCCAUCGUUUACGGCGUGGACUAC
rnacentral:misc_RNA from 1 species